rfam:Xenopus laevis strain J chromosome 6L, whole genome shotgun sequence.
AAAAAGGCCUUGUUCAAGGCCAAAGGAGGAAUACAAAUAGAUAUUCU